AGUGGAGCACGCCGAUAUGGCUGCGCUGACACUGAGGGGUGUCCGGGAGCUGCUGAAGCGUGUGGACUUCGCGACGGUCCUGCGGAGACAUCGAUAUAAGAAGAAAUGGCCCGGUCGCCCCCACCCCUCGGAAAAUACCAUAGCGACCUUGCCUGCACUCCUGGGUCUCCGCCGCCUUGCAGGAAAGGAUUCAGCCCCUUCCUCAACCUCGAGCUGCCUCUGGCGACCGGGAAAGGUUCCAGCGACCACCCUGUCCAUACUGCCGGCCCAAACGCUGGCAAAAGGUGCAACGAAUCCUCUUAUCCUCUGGACUCUCCCUGCUUCUCCAGAGACCCUUUUUCUUGCCUCACUGGAAGCCCUGGAAUUUCUUCUAUGACCGGCACGCCCCCCUGCCCACCCCAGCCGAUUCCCUCGCCACCUCCACCAUCUCUUCCACCCCCACAACCUUUCUCGCACUCAGGGAGAUGGUCUUUUGAGUCCUCUUCCCCACUCCUGGAAAGGACCUACUGCCGCGAGCCCUGCCACUCGGGUUCCCCACUCUCCAGCCCUUAUUUUGAGCAGUUCAGCAUUCCGGGGUCACCCCCUCUCUGUCAGCGGACCCCUUAUUGCAGCUGGAUUAGUCCCUCCAGAAUGCGGCGUCCCUGUCUUCAAGGCACGUACUUUGACCAGCACACUAAUCUCUGUUACUCUAGCGGAUGCCCUUCAGCUUUUGGAACCAGCCCGGCAACCUCCUUUCCCCUUGCUCAUCAGUCCCCGGGAACCAGCCCAGUGACCUCCCCUCAGCUCACUCAUGUACCCUUGGAAACUGGACCCAUGAUUUCGCCUCCUCCUACACAUAGGACCCCGGGAACUUGCCUCACGAUUUCACCUCGUCUUGCUCGCCGGCUGGUGGAAACUAGUCCUAUGGCCUCCCCAACCCUUUCUCACAGAGUUUUGGAAACUGGGCUGAUGAUCUCUCUGCCCUCUCACUGGUUCUCAGGGAGAAGUUAUAAUGACCCCCUUCUCUCCCCAGCAUCUUCCCCACCUACUGGCAGCUUUUACCAUGGCAGCCUUAAGCCUCUAGACUCUUGUGAACCCAAACCACAGCUUGACCCGCCCCUUGAGAAAAAUUGUUGUGGCUCCCCACUCUCUUCUCAGGCAGGCAUGCCUGGCUCUCCCAGCUCACCUCAAGAGGGCUUUUAUCAUUACUCCCAUCUUUCCUCAGAGGCCUACAUACCUACCCCUGGGAGUCUUUGCUAUGCCAUCUGCCUGCGCCCCGGGAGUACUGAUUCUCCUUGCCCACCCCAGUCCCAGGCUCCCAGGAAGGCUUGCAUUGAGUCCCUUCUCUCCUGGGAGGCAACUGGGAACUCUUACCUCAUCCUGACCCCGGGCACCACAACUUCUGGUCCCCCCUGUUCCCAGGAACCAUCUCGUCCCCAUGGUCCUCAUUCUGUCCUUUCCUUCCCUUCACCCCUGGGCAACCAGUUUAUAUCUCCACCCCAGUCACUUCCCCGCAGAAGCUAUAAUGAACCCCCUCUUCCCACUCCAGUUUCCCCCCAACCGAAGUCCCCUAAGUCCCCAGAGUUAAGACAGUCACGUAUUCCCCACAAAUGUCUUUCCCUAGUCAACACUCCCCAGCACACCCCUUCUGGCCAGCCCAAGCCCGCUAAGGCCCACACCUGUCCCCCACCUCCCUCCUGCCUCUCUGGUCCUUCUUGUAUGCAGCCAUACAUCACAACUCCUUCAAAUUCCAGCCCCAAAGAACUUCCCCCAGGGACUACCUUACCGACUGUGGUCCCUAGAAUUCUCAAAAGUGUUAUCCCCACUUCUCUUCCCCUCUGCCUUCCUUGUGAUCCUGUCUUGGCCAAUAGUUAUGCUCAGAGCAGCCCCCAUGGACCCUCCAUAGGGCCCCCCUGCAAUACCCAUAUAUGCUCUGUGGUUCCCUCCACCCCCCAUCCCUGCCCACUGUCUGGCUCCCUCAAUCAUUCGACAGGCCCCCCUCCCAUUGUGCCCCUGUGUGACACCUAUAGCACUCCCAGGGACCCACCCCAACCUCGUUGUCAGCCUGUGAUGCCUCCUUGUUCUACCUACAUCUAUUCUUUUAUCCCUUUGAGAACACCCUUUGAUCCUCAAAGUUUACCCAUUGUCCCCCGAGUCCGGGCCUACCCUGAUACUGUCCCCUGUGGCCUCCAUAUCUACCCUGUGGCCUCUCAAGGCCCUUGCAAAGAGCCUCUGCAGAUCCCCUACAGCUGCCCUUUGCCUUCAUCCAAGGAUUCCAGCUGUAGCACCAAUCCCAGCUGUAGUUCAACUAUUAUUAGCAAAUGCCAGAGUAGUGACAGCGAGAGCAGGAGUUCCCACCAAAGCCAAAGCUGGAGCCAAAGCAAGAGUCCCCAUGAUGGCAGAAGUCAGAGCUGGAGCAAGAGCCAUCAUCUGAGCAGAAGUCCAAGUCAGAAAAGGAGUCCCUAUCCUAGCAGAAGCUGGGGCCGGAGCAGUAAUCCUCAACAAAACACAAGUCAGGGCCAGAGUGAGAGUCCCCAGCUUAGCAUAAAUGAGCGCCAGGGUGAGAGUCCCCAAAUUAGCAGAGGUCAGGGCAAGAGCAAGAGUCUAUGAUGGCAAAAGUCGGAACCGGAGCAAGAGUCCCCAACAUGGCAAAGGUCAAGGCCAGAGCAAGAGUCCCCAACAUAGCAGGAGCCAGAGCAAGAGUCCCAGUGGGGCAAAAGUCAUAGAGCAAGAGUCCUCACCAUAACAAGAAAUGAGGGCCAGAGCAAAAGUUCUGACCAGACCAAAAAUCUAGGCCAGAGCAAGGCAUAGAUAGUAACAAGAUUGCCAGCUAUAGCAAGCAUCCCAGCUGCAGCAACCAGGACCGACUUGUGCACUCCUCAUCUGAAGUCUUCAUUUCUCUUUUACUCUGCCUCCUCGUUCUUGUCCUCUUGUCCCCUGCUACCCCCAUAGCAGUCAUCCUACAAGUCCCUGUUUUGGUUCACACCUCAAGAUUCUGUGGGCCCUCCUUAUCCAACCUUUCUGGGGUCUGGGAACUCUCCCAGCAUGACCCUCAACCCUCUGAUUCUAAGCAUGGUGGUGCUAGUCACUGCGUGACGCUAGGCUGCCACAGAG